AUUGAACGCUGGCGGCAGGCCUAACACAUGCAAGUCGAACGAGUCGCGGACGGGUGAGUAAUGUCUGGGAAACUGCCCGAUGGAGGGGGAUCACUACCGGAAACGGUAGCUAAUACCGCAUACCAUCGGAUGUGCCCAGAUGGGAUUAGCUAGUAGUUGGGGGAACGGAUCACCUAGGCGACGAUCCCUAGCUGGUCUGAUAGGAUGACCAGCCACACUGGAACUGUGAUACGGUCCAGAGUCCUACGGUAGGCAGCAGUUGGGAUUAUGGCACAAUGGGCGGGAGCCUGAUGCAGCCAGGCCGCGUGUAUGAAGAAGGCCUUCGGUUUGUAAAGUACUUUCAGCGAGGAGGCGUUACUCGCAGAAGAAGCACCGGCUAACUCCGUGCCAGCAGCCGCGGUAAUAC
rnacentral:rRNA from 1 species